rnacentral:rRNA from 1 species
UACGAAGGGGGCUAGCGUUGUUCGGAUUUACUGGGCGUAAAGCGCACGUAGGCGGAUAUUUAAGUUAGGGGUGAAAUCCCAGGGCUCAACCCAGGAACUGCCUCUAAUACUGGAUAUCUUGAGUUCGAGAGAGGUGAGUGGAAUUCCGAGUGUAGAGGUGAAAUUCGUAGAUAUUCGGAGGAACACCAGUGGCGAAGGCGGCUCACUGGCUCGAUACUGACGCUGAGGUGCGAAAGCGUGGGGAGCAAACAGG